GACGAACGCUGGCGGCGUGCUUAACACAUGCAAGUCGAACGGAAAGGCCCUGCUUUUGUGGGGUGCUCGAGUGGCGAACGGGUGAGUAACACGUGAGUAACCUGCCCUUGACUUUGGGAUAACUUCAGGAAACUGGGGCUAAUACCGGAUAGGAGCUCCUGCUGCAUGGUGGGGGUUGGAAAGUUUCGGCGGUUGGGGAUGGACUCGCGGCUUAUCAGCUUGUUGGUGGGGUAGUGGCUUACCAAGGCUUUGACGGGUAGCCGGCCUGAGAGGGUGACCGGCCACAUGGGGAAUGAGAGACGGCCCAGACUCCUACGGGAGGCAGCAGGGGGGAAUAGUGCACAAUGGGCGGAAGGCUGAUGCAGCAACGCCGAGUGAGGGAUGACGGACGUCGGGGUGUAAACCGCUGUCGCCUGUGACGAAGCGUGAGUGACGGUAAUGGGUAAAGAAGCACCGGCUAACUACGUG
rnacentral:rRNA from 1 species